AACAUGUCUUCCGUGGCUACACUGAUCUCAAGUGAGACAACUGAAAUGAAUCAAGACGUAGAGGAGGCUGCAGGUCACAGUAAGACACUCAGACCAGAGUCUGCACUACACAGCUGUGUGACCAUGAAGAAUGACCAGGACAUGGAUGAUCCUGUAAACAUGAACAGCACAUCAACACAGACCGAUGCAGGACGACACACACACAGACCUCCAUCUCCAGCGCCCAGCUGUGUGUCUAUGA